rnacentral:rRNA from 1 species
GACGAACGCUGGCGGCGUGCCUAAUACAUGCAAGUAGAACGCUGAAGGAGGAGCUUGCUUCUCUGGAUGAGUUGCGAACGGGUGAGUAACGCGUAGGUAACCUGCCUGGUAGCGGGGGAUAACUAUUGGAAACGAUAGCUAAUACCGCAUAAGAGUAGAUGUUGCAUGACAUUUGCUUAAAAGGUGCAAUUGCACCACUACCAGAUGGACCUGCGUUGUAUUAGCUAGUUGGUGGGGUAACGGCUCACCAAGGCGACGAUACAUAGCCGACCUGAGAGGGUGAUCGGCCACACUGGGACUGAGACACGGCCCAGACUCCUACGGGAGGCAGCAGUAGGGAAUCUUCGGCAAUGGACGGAAGUCUGACCGAGCAACGCCGCGUGAGUGAAGAAGGUUUUCGGAUCGUAAAGCUCUGUUGUAAGAGAAGAACGAGUGUGAGAGUGGAAAGUUCACACUGUGACGGUAUCUUACCAGAAAGGGACGGCUAACUACGUGC